rnacentral:rRNA from 1 species
UACGAAGGGGGCUAGCGUUGUUCGGAAUUACUGGGCGUAAAGCGCGCGUAGGCGGUGAUCUUUGUCAGAGGUGAAAGCCUGGGGCUCAACUCCAGAAUUGCCUUUGAAACGGGAUCGCUUGAGUCCGAGAGAGGAUGGCGGAAUUCCUAGUGUAGAGGUGAAAUUCGUAGAUAUCUGGAGGAACACCGGUGGCGAAGGCGGCAUCCUGGACCAAUUCUGACGCUGAGGAGCGAAAGCCAGGGGAGCAAACAGG